CAGGAUCAAACUGUUGCCCUCUUCUUCCCAUAAUUUCCAUGAUUCCUUUCCCUCUAAUACCCAUACUAGCCACCUGUUCAUCAUUUGUAGUGCUAACAGUGUUUACUUCACUAAGUUGAUCUUCAGAAUUCAAUUGCUCAUUCAGCUGCAAAUUUACUUGAUUCUCCUCUAACUUGCUAGAAUCCUGAUCUGUCUGCACUACUGAGGCUGGUGGAUCAACAGCUUCCUCAGAUUGCUUUUGGAUUUCAUCAUUUGCUACAUUCUUCUUUACAAUCCAUUCCUUCUUCUUUUGUUUCCCCUGCUGUUUGUGUCUAAUUUCCCUUUUCCUUAUGUCUUCUUCCUCCUCCUCAUGCUUGUCUGAAUUCCCAGUAGAGUACCAACACUCAAUUGUGUCAUGACCAAACUUGAGACAGUGGUUACAAAAAGUAGGUUUCCAGUCAUAUUCGACAGACUGAACCUUAGAUCCAUAAGGUGUAUCAAUUUCCAAUUCAUCAGGAAGUUGAUAAGCAGCAUCAACUUCUACAAGUAUUCUGGCAAAUGAGAUUUUGUCAUAAUGAGCAGUAUAUUUAUCAGUGUACAAUGGUUU
rnacentral:lncRNA from 1 species